rnacentral:rRNA from 1 species
UGGGGAAUAUUGCACAAUGGGCGCAAGCCUGAUGCAGCCAUGCCGCGUGUAUGAAGAAGGCCUUCGGGUUGUAAAGUACUUUCAGUCGGGAGGAAGGUGGUAAGGUUAAUAACCUUAUCAAUUGACGUUACCGACAGAAGAAGCACCGGCUAACUCCGUGCCAGCAGCCGCGGUAAUACGGAGUGUGCAAGCGUUAAUCGGAAUUACUGGGCGUAAAGCGCACGCAGGCGGUUGAUUGAGUCAGAUGUGAAAUCCCCGGGCUUAACCCGGGAAUUGCAUCUGAUACUGGUCAGCUAGAGUCUUGUAGAGGGGGGUAGAAUUCCAUGUGUAGCGGUGAAAUGCGUAGAGAUGUGGAGGAAUACCGGUGGCGAAGGCGGCCCCCUGGACAAAGACUGACGCUCAGGUGCGAAAGCGUGGGGAGCAAACAGG